rnacentral:rRNA from 1 species
GCUUGCACCUUUCAAGCGAGUGGCGAACGGGUGAGUAACACGUGGAUAACCUGCCUCAAGGCUGGGGAUAACAUUUGGAAACAGAUGCUAAUACCGAAUAAAACUUAGUAUCGCAUGAUACAAAGUUGAAAGGCGCUACGGCGUCACCUAGAGAUGGGUCCGCGGUGCAUUAGUUAGUUGGUGGGGUAAAGGCCUACCAAGACAAUGAUGCAUAGCCGAGUUGAGAGACUGAUCGGCCACAUUGGGACUGAGACACGGCCCAAACUCCUACGGGAGGCUGCAGUAGGGAAUCUUCCACAAUGGGCGAAAGCCUGAUGGAGCAACGCCGCGUGUGUGAUGAAGGCUUUAGGGUCGUAAAGCACUGUUGUAUGGGAAGAAAUGCUAGAAUAGGGAAUGAUUCUAGUUCGACGGUACCAUACCAGAAAGGGACGGCUAAAUACGUGCCAGCAGCCGCGGUAAUACGUAUGUCCCGAGCGUUAUCCGGAUUUAUUGGGCGUAAAGCGAGCGCAGACGGUUGAUUAAGUCUGAUGUGAAAGCCCGGAGCUCAACUCCGGAAUGGCAUUGGAAACUGGUUAACUUGAGUGUUGUAGAGGUAAGUGGAACUCCUGGGUAUAC